rnacentral:lncRNA from 1 species
GCAAAUGCUUGAUAUUAAGUACAUACUUCUUGGAUGAAUGAAUAAAUAUCCUAAUCUGCUUAUUAAUUUUCUUGCAUGAUGAGAAUGAGACCUGCUUGGAAUUUGUCAGGGUUAAGGAUGGAAGUGGAACAGAUAGAUGAGGUCUCAGGAAAGGUUGCUGCAAAAACAGAAAUCACAAUUGCCUUCUGCAGGACUGGGCAGGUGAGGGAGGAGUGAGGGGACGGCCCUGGAAGGGGGCUGGCCUGGCGGGAAGGCCCGGGAAGGAGGGACAGGGGUGGUGGGUGGGGCUUUCUCCUGUACUUGGAGGCCGAGUGAGAUCCAUGGCUCAGUAUUGAAUGUGAGGUUCCCGAAUCUGCUUCUCUUCAAGGCCGCUGUGCUCUCCUCGGAGCUGAGUGUGUGGACUGUGCAGCUCAUCGGAUGUGCACACACACACACGGGUGCUCAUGGGCACACUUCCAAGUUGAACAGGCUCUCACCAGGGCACUUGGGCGCAGCCACAAAUGCUUCAGUUCCAAAAUGCAAAGGAUGAAGAAAUCAGAAAAGUCCCCAAUGCCACCGGCCACCUUCAGGGAGAGCCUGGCUGUCCAGACAAGCCGCUGGUCAGGUGCAUAGCAGUGGGAAAUGCUGUGUGUUGAGGGCAUCUUCAUAGGUCCAGCUGGCCGCUCCACAUGGACACCCAACAACCAGACCUUCCGUCAAGCUCAACGGAACCCCCCCAGUGACUCGGAGGAGGCUCGGGCUCCUGUCACACAGACCCUCCGUUGAACUCGAUUGAACCCCUCCAGUGACUCAGAGGAGGCUCAGGCUCCUGUCACACAGAGUCUGGCACUUUCCUGUAAGCAUCAACAUCAGCAGAACACGAUCAUGGCUCAGUCUCUGAGCAGAAUUCUGAUGAUCCUGCAACCCCAACUGGACUCUUCUAAACUAGCAAGCUCUCUGUCCCAGGAGCACUUGGAGAGGCUGCCCUGCUCCACCUCACUUCUGAACGGCCGGCUGGAGCCACGCAGAUGCACACUGGUUUGGACAAAUGCACAUGCACUCCCCAACUCCUCUCACCUCUGGGUCCUCCCCUCCAGCCUUAGGCCCAGGGCUCACUCCUUAGUGCCCCCCACACCUCAUGAGCAGGCCUAGUUCAUUGUCUCCAAGACAUUCUGCAAAGGCCUCACUACCCCCGAAGGUCUAAGGAGUUCCUACUGACUUAGGGUCUACAGGGUUCAAAAUGCUCUGAGCAGACUGAGAAACCAAAGACCAGUUCCAAAUAAGACUUAUCCUGAGGAGCACCAGGAGUGCCCAUCAUCAAUUCACAAAAUCCUAAACCUCCAAAUGGAGGGGACAUGACAUGUCACCUUACCCUCGAUGAACGCCCUCUACACAAAUACCCUAGCCAGUCUUGACUCCUUUUGACAUGACCCUGUUGUGGGAGCUGCAAAGACCAUCAUGGAUCCCACAAACAGGCAUGGCGCUGGGCAAGACGGCCAUGGAUCCCACAGACAGGGAUGGCACCAGGCAGCCCGUGGUGCAAGGCAGGAAAGGGGAGGACAAAGCAGGGCAGGGAUUAGAGAGUGCAGAGGCCCAGCUUUAGGAAGAUGGUUGAAGCCUGCAAAGAGUUAACGGCAUUCCACUGGGUCUGGGAGGAUAAACGUGGUUUGGAUAGAGACACAGGGACAGCAUGAGCGAAGGGCCCAUAAGGGAAGGACCUCGGUAUUUAACAGAAGCAUUGGACAGAGAAGUCUGGUGAAACGGACGGAAGGCUAGAGAGGCAGCUGGGAUUAACUCACGGAGGCCUGGACUGUCCCGGCCAGUGGGUAAGACUGUGCUCUUUAGAUGGGCGCUGGAGGUGAAGUGUCCUGUGUUUAGUGAAAUCCCUCUCUCAAUAGCCCGGAUGGAGGAUAAGAGGAGCCCUGCAGGGAGGACAAUGAACCAGGAAGCAGCCGACAGGGAAUGGAAUGGAGGCAGAGGAUCGACAGGGAAUGGAAUGGAGGCAGAGGAUCGGCAGCCUGGGGGAGGAAUGGCAGGGCCUCCUCCCUGAUCAGCCAGGCCAGGGACAGAGUGGCACAUAAAGGGCACAUGAGCCUGGGUAACAAGAAGAAGGCUGCUGGUGGUCAGAGACACUGGGCUAUCAGGGGAAUUCUAACAGUUGGGAGAAAAUGCCCAGCUCGUCGUGGGGAAGCUUGAGAGGUAACAUUUGAGAGGCCAGGAAGCAUUAGCUCGUGGCAGCUGCACUUUUCUCUGCCUUUGAUCAUCGCCCGUCUGGGCACCUGGCUGACACUGACUAGAAGGAGAAAGGGCCAGGGCCAGGAGGCAUUUGCUCCCCCUCCCAUGGCCAGAGGCAGCCAGCAUCCUAAUGAAUGAGGGUGAGUGAAGGAAGUAUUUGGAAUUUCACAGAGAGGCCCAUUUCCUUCUGCACAUAUGAAGCACCUGCUAGUGCUGUGUACUAGACACUGGAAAGCUGAAUUUCCAGGAGGAGGAGAUGCUCGUAGAAACAAUAAACGAACAACAUGCAGCGGGAGAGCCACAGACAGGACACAUAAGGUCUAGAAGAAGCCUCAGUGUGAACCAAAGGGGAAGGGGAGGGGGAGGAAGAGGAAGGGAAGGGGAAGGAAGCAGCUUAGGGUUAAAGGACAAAAGAGAUCCCAAGCUCCAGGCCCACAGGCCAGGGAGGUCCCAGGAGUGAGG